rnacentral:misc_RNA from 1 species
GAUGAAGAACGUAGCGAAAUGCGAUAAGUAAUGUGAAUUGCAGAAUUCAGUGAAUCAUCGAAUCUUUGAACGCACCUUGCGCUCCUUGGCAUUCCGAGGAGCAUGCCUGUUUGAGUGUCAUUACAACCCUCAAGCUCAGCUUGGUGUUGGGCCCCGCCGCCCCGGCGGGCCCUAAAGUCAGUGGCGGUGCCGUCCGGCUCCGAGCGUAGUAAUUCUUCUCGCUCUGGAGGCCCGGUCGUGUGCUCGCCAGCAACCCCCAAUUUUUUUCAGGUUGACCUCGGAUCAGGUAGGGAUACCCGCUGAACUUAAGCAUAUCAAUAAGCGGAGGA